UACGUAGGGUGCAAGCGUUAAUCGGAAUUACUGGGCGUAAAGCGUGCGCAGGCGGUUUUGUAAGCCAGAUGUGAAAUCCCCGGGCUUAACCUGGGAAUGGCAUUUGGGACUGCAAGGCUUGAGUGCGGCAGAGGAGACUGGAAUUCCUGGUGUAGCAGUGAAAUGCGUAGAUAUCUGGAGGAACACCGGUGGCGAAGGCGGCAUCCUGGACCGAUAUUGACGCUGAUGCGCGAAAGCCAGGGGAGCGAACAGG
rnacentral:rRNA from 1 species